rnacentral:rRNA from 1 species
UACGUAGGGUGCAAGCGUUGUCCGGAAUUAUUGGGCGUAAAGAGCUCGUAGGCGGUUUGUCGCGUCGAAUGUGAAAACCCGGGGCUCAACCCCGGGCCUGCAUUCGAUACGGGCAGACUAGAGUUCGGUAGGGGAGUCUGGAAUUCCUGGUGUAGCGGUGAAAUGCGCAGAUAUCAGGAGGAACACCGGUGGCGAAGGCGGGUCUCUGGGCCGAUACUGACACUGAAGAGCGAAAGCGUGGGGAGCGAACAGG